AUUGACCGCUGGCGGCAGGCCUAACACAUGCAAGUCGAACGAGUGGCGGACGGGUGAGUAAUGUCUGGGAAACUUCCUGAUGGAGGGGGAUAACUACUGGAAACGGUAGCUAAUACCGCAUACCAUCGGAUGUGCCCCGAGGGGAUUAGCUAGUAGGUGGGGUAACGGCUCACCUAGGCGACUAUCCCUAGCUGGUCUGAGAGGAUGACCAGCCACACUGGAACGGAGAAACGGUCCAGAAUCCUACGGGAGGCAGCAGUGGGGAAUAUGGCACAAUGGGCGCAAGCCUGAUGCAGCCAUGCCGCGUGUAUGAAGAAGGCAUUCGGGUUGUAAAGUACUUUCAGCGGGGAGGCGUUACCCGCAGAAGAAGCACCGGCUAACUCCGUGCCAGCAGCCGCGGUAAUAC
rnacentral:rRNA from 1 species